CUGCUGCUCAAUUAAUGAAAUGUUGAAUGUAUUGAGAUCUAGAAGCAUAAGCUGUGGAGAGUCAAGUUGCAGUGAACAUGGCUGUGUGUGUGUGUGUGCGUGUGUCUGUAUGCGGUUGGUCUCCGUGGCGAUAGUGCUGCAGGUGAAACUUCCUUCCUGCAAACAGCGUCAUGGUAACUUCCAUCCCAUGACCCCAGAGAUACAUAACAGACUAACAACACUGCAGGUUCUCUCUCUCUUUCUCUCUCUCUUGCUGAUUGUUAAUAAUUUCCCCGUGUUGUCCAAAGAGCUGAUCAUAGAGAAGGUGUUUGAUGUGAUUGGUGUAAUCAGGCCUGUGGGGAUGAGCCGGCAUGUUUAAACUCAGUCCCCUGGGUGGGUUCACAUAUGAUCUUGUUAAGAUUAGAGAGUAUUAAUCCACAACACAGUGUACCUGUUAAGAAGGGUGGGAUUUUUACUUACAAGCAACUACUCGGUAACACAUACAGAUUUGUGUUUGUUAGCACGUGUGUGUGUGUGUGUGUGUGUGUGUUGGGUGAGAGGGGAGGGGUGUGUUGUGUUUUGGAAACGUGAAAUGUUUCUCUCCUGAAUUCCUGAGGGCCAUCUCUGUUCCCAGGCUUUCAGUCUCUGCUCUAAAUCCUCUACUGCACCUCCCACUUAACACACUGGGAAGCUUUGUGGAGCUGAAUGUGUGUGUGUGUGUGGCUAUGUGUGUGUUUUGAGAGACAGACAGGCAGAGAGAGAG